AAUAAAAUUGGGUAUUUUCAUAUGUUAUAUUAUAUACCGUGUAUGUACGGAAACAUAGGACACUGCCACUCAGUACCAUGAUUAAAGAUUUAAUUGUUAGAUCGGGCUCAGUACUUUCUACAUAUAUUUGUAUUUGGUUUGCAGAACAUACACAAACCGAAUUCAAAAUUAUGUGCAAGGUUUUCUAUAGGUUAGCUGUAGGAUAUUAUUUGUUUACUCACCAAACACAAAUACCUAUACGAAAAUAUGUAAUAUAAUUAUUCAGGAUGGUUGUGCUGUACCAGGAUGCAUAUCAAAUACCGAUUUAGUAGAGGAUGAAAAUAUCAGCUUAUUCCAACCUUCAAUAGAAAAUGUAAAUGAAUGGAGCUCGUCGUUAAAUUUGAAUUUAACUGUAAACAGUUAUGUUUGUGACAGACAUUUUAGACCCGAACAUCUUCUAUAUCCAGAGGUAUUCGUAAAUGGUUCAAUGAAAGUAAUAAAAUGCAGAUUAAAUUCGGCUUUGCCAAUAGCAAUGGAUGCUGAGGAGUAGUAUUGUACAAUCAGACCCUCCUCUGCUGUCGGUUCAAACUGGAAAAAAAUUAAAAUUAAAUGUGUAAUGAUGUUUUUAAGCGCUUAUUUUAAUGAUUUUAAAUGCCAUAACUCCCAAGCCCUGGUUAUAACUAUAAUAAAAUUAAUACUACUUUAUUACUUAUAUCAUUAAGUUAAGAUUGGCAUAUCAAAUGAGUAGAUAAGAUUUGACUUGCCGCUAACAUGAUUUAUACACAUAUAUUUAUAUUUUAUUAUUAUUUUUUUUUAUUUUCAAUAUUACAUCUAUAUACAUUUAAUAAACUAUUUAUACCAUAUGAUGAACAAUAUAUAAUGUUAUAUUUCACAUAAUAUACAGUGGUGCUGAGUUCAGUUAAAAA